GGGGAGGAGCGAAGUGAAACUGCAGCAGGUUGAGUGAGGUAGCCCAGAGACAUGAAUUGGUAUUGGGCCCAAACAGAGGAUGUGAGGAAACCAAUGGAGCAGAUAAGAGACAAUCUUGUCGUUACUGACACUCACAAGAGCAUCGGGUCAGUUAUAAAGCAACAAUUCCCCACAACAGUUCAGGAGAACUGGAGGUCAAUUGCCUGGAGAGCAAGCUGCCGAAAAGGGAUAGCUGUAGUGUGGUGAAAUCUAUAACCUGCGGGAGCGCUAGAGCCAGCGCUCCAUGUGGAAGUGAUGAGCGCACUGCCAGGAUGCAAACCUGCACUCCCCGGGGCCCUGACCACGCGACUGUGCCUAUACAAGAGUAAAGAACCAGCAAGUCUGCCAUCAGCCUGACAGAGACAGCUGCUGAAGAAACUACCUGUGCUAUUUUUUGGUUUAUAUAUUAAAUACCUCACCGC